UAAGGUCUCUUCGGAGAUACACGAGUGGCGAAACGGGUGCGUAACGCGUAUGCAACCUACCUUUUAACAGAGAGAUAGCCCCUGAGAAAUUUGGGGAUUAAUAUCACAUAAUAUUAUAAUGCAGCAUUGUAUAAUUGAUUAAAGCUCCGGACGGUUAAAGAUGGGCAUGCGUGACAUUAGUUAGUUGGUGAGGUAACGGCUCACCAAGACUUCGAUGUCUAGGGGUUCUGAGAGGAUUAUCCCCACACUGGUACUGAGACACGGACCAGACUCC
rnacentral:rRNA from 1 species